GGCUGAAGCAGGAAUAUUAUAAGUGUGAGGCCAGUCUGGGCAACUUAGUGAGAUCCUGUCUCGAAAUAAAAUUUUAAAAGGGCUCAGGAUGUAGAUAUGUGGUACAGCACUUACUUAGCAUGCAUGAGGCCCUGGCUUCAAUUCCGAGUACCAAAAAAAUUUUUUUUCAUCAAAAUGAUCCUGUAAGAACUCUUAAAUAAUUCCAAAGAAUCACCAUCCAUUUGACUUAAAAUAGACUAAGUCAAAAAUUUAAAAAAUUGUUUUGGUGAGGUGGGAAGGAGAAAGAACCUAGGGCUACCAACGUUCUAUUUUGCCAAUAAGGACAUUAAAAGUCAUGACCACAAUCAAAGUGGGCUGUCACUAUUCAUACACACAACAUUUUAUGGAUAUUUUUAAAAAGGAAGAGAAAGUGGCCCAAUCUCAAAAUGAAGGGCAGUUCACUUAAUGGAAUAAAUAUAUUUAAUCCCUUGAAAACUUAUUCUUUUACCCUUAUUUUUUCUUACUUGGUCCCAGGGAUCCCUGGUACGAGAAAAAAAAAAGCGGACAUUUUAGAUGAAAGGGAAACCUAAAUUAGGAAUGAAAUAGACAAAGAAAGAGAACGUGUACCCUCGGGACACACGAACUUCCCUCAUUUUAGAUGAGGGAAACCUAAAUUAGGAAUGAAAUAGACAAAGAAAGAGAACGUGUACCCUCGGGACACACGAACUUCCCUCCAGACGGCGGACAGGUGGGCUGCGCCUGGGGUGCGCAUGCGCGUCCUCUCAUUCUUCAGGGUCUCGCGGGGUUUGCUUAUCAGUUCGCGUUUCACCGGUGAACACUUCGAGGCUUGGAGCUCGGAACGUGUGCAAGUUGUCGCAGAUGAUGAGCAGGCUCUCACCUGUUAACGCGCAGGUCUGUCUGCACCCUCGAUGUCACUGCUGCAGCUGUGCCCAAGGCCCCCACGCGCCGGGUUUGCAAACAUAA
rnacentral:lncRNA from 1 species